rnacentral:rRNA from 1 species
UUCCUACGGGGCGCAGCAGUGAGGAAUAUUGGUCAAUGGGCGGAAGCCUGAACCAGCCAAGUCGCGUGAGGGAAGAAGGUCCUAUGGAUUGUAAACCUCUUUUGGCGGGGAGCAAUGCCGGGCACGCGUGCCCGGCCGGAGAGUACCCGCAGAAUAAGCAUCGGCUAACUCCGUGCCAGCAGCCGCGGUAAUACGGAGGAUGCGAGCGUUAUCCGGAUUUAUUGGGUUUAAAGGGUGCGUAGGCGGGUUUUUAAGUCAGCGGUAAAAUGUCCGGGCUCAACCCGGGCCGGCCGUUGCAACUGGGG